CUGUCUCUUGCUUCAACAGUGAUUGGAUGGAACAG
rfam:Myotis brandtii contig298408, whole genome shotgun sequence.